AAAUUCAAAUGCCAGAUCACUGCAACGAUCUACUUAUGAACAGGGGAGCAGUGUUUCCUUUGCAGCAAGAAGCAAGGGAUUAGUCAUGAAGAAGGCAGAUGCAGAAGAGGAAAAGGAAGAAGACUCACUUUGGUGGCAAAUGAAGAAGACCCAAGAGCAAAGAUCAAAUGUUGGCCUGGAAAGUCAGGAUGAGGCUGCAAAGUGGGUGAAUUAGAUGCCUCUCUUUUCUCAGUUUGCUCAUUAUAUAAACAAUUUGACACAAGCCA